AGCUUAGUGUUAAUUUUAUAUUAGGUAAAUUCUGCUCAAUGAUUAAAUUAAAUAGCCGCAGUACUUUGACUGUGCAAAGGUAGCAUAAUAAAUUGGCUUAUAAUUGAAGUCGGGAAUGAAUGAGUUAAUGGAUAUAAGCUGUCUUAUAUAAAUAUUAAUUAAUUUUCUAAGUAAGUGAAAAUUCUUACAAAUAAUUUUAUUAGACGAGAAGACCCUCGAAAUUUUGACAAUAUAAUAUAAUAAAUAUUAUUAGUUUUUGUUGGGGCGACAGAUUUACAAUAUAACUAAAUUUAUUGAUUAAAAUAAUACAAAUUUUAUUAAUAGAAAAUAAAUUACUCAAGGGAUAACAGCAUAAUUUAUUAAUAAGUUUGUGACCUCGAUGUUGGACUAGGAAACUUUAAUUUUAGAAGAUUUAAAGUAAGGUUCUGUUCGAACUACAUAUCCUACAUG
rnacentral:rRNA from 1 species